rnacentral:rRNA from 1 species
UGGGGAAUUUUGGACAAUGGGGGCAACCUGAUCCAGCAAUGCCGCGUGUGUGAAGAAGGCCUUCGGGUUGUAAAGCACUUUUGUCCGGAAAGAAAACGUCGUGGUUAAUACCCGUGGCGGCUGACGGUACCGGAAGAAUAAGCACCGGCUAACUACGUGCCAGCAGCCGCGGUAAUACGUAGGGUGCAAGCGUUAAUCGGAAUUACUGGGCGUAAAGCGUGCGCAGGCGGUCCGCUAAGACAGAUGUGAAAUCCCCGGGCUUAACCUGGGAACUGCAUUUGUGACUGGCGGGCUAGAGUAUGGCAGAGGGGGGUAGAAUUCCACGUGUAGCAGUGAAAUGCGUAGAGAUGUGGAGGAAUACCGAUGGCGAAGGCAGCCCCUGGGCCAAUACUGACGCUCAUGCACGAAAGCGUGGGGGAGCAAACAGGAUUCAGAUACCCUGGUAGUCCACG